GACGAACGCUGGCGGCGUGCCUAAUACAUGCAAGUCGAACGAACCGCGACUAGGUGCUUGCACUUGGUCAAGGUGAGUGGCGAACGGGUGAGUAACACGUGGGUAACCUACCUCAUAGUGGGGGAUAACAGUCGGAAACGACUGCUAAUACCGCAUAGGACAUAGGAUCACAUGAUCCAGUGAGGAAAGGUGGCGCAAGCUAUCGCUAAGAGAUGGACCCGCGGUGCAUUAGCUAGUUGGUAGGGUAAAGGCCUACCAAGGCGAUGAUGCAUAGCCGACCUGAGAGGUGGAUCGGCCACAUUGGGACUGAGACACGGCCCAAACUCCUACGGGAGGCAGCAGUAGGGAAUCUUCCGCAAUGGACGCAAGUCUGACGGAGCAACGCCGCGUGAGUGAAGAAGGUCUUCGGAUCGUAAAGCUCUGUUGUUAGAGAAGAACAGCGCAUAGAGUAACUGUUAUGCGUGUGACGGUAUCUAACCAGAAAGCCACGGCUAACUACGUG
rnacentral:rRNA from 1 species